rnacentral:rRNA from 1 species
GGUGAACGCUGGCGGCGCGCUUAAUGCAUGCAAGUCGAGCGUGACCUGAUGGGGCAACCUGUCGGGUUAAGCGGCAAACGGCUGAAUAACGCGUGAGCAACCUGCCCUUCGGUGGGGUACAGCCCCGAGAAAUCGAGGUUAAUCCCGCAUACGAUCCCCAGGCCCUGGUCUGGGGAUGAAAGGCCCGAUUCGUCGGGUCGCCGGAGGAGGGGCUCGCGUCCUAUCAGGUAGUUGGCGGAGUAACCGGCCCACCAAGCCGAUGACGGGUAGCUGGUCUGAGAGGAUGGCCAGCCAGAGGGGGACUGAGACACGGCCCCCACUCCUACGGGAGGCAGCAGC